GGAUCUAGAUAGGUUGGUCAUGCCUCAGGUAUGUACUGAUCUCACUGAUUCCUCCUUCCUGACAGAACCGUAAUGCCAUUAAUUUGGUGUUGCGGGGAGACUGGACUGUUACUUUGAAAAAAUUAGAGUGUUUAAAGCAGGCUAACGCUUGAAUACAUUAGCAUGGAAUAAUGAAAUAGGACGUUCGAUCCUAUUUUGUUGGUUUCUAGGAUUGACGUAAUGAUUACACGGAUAGUUGG
rnacentral:rRNA from 1 species